CGAAGUAAAAUUCAUGCUAUCAAAACAUUGAUCCAUUUGUCUCCUACAUGCAUCUUGUCUACCACUAGUAGUGGGUCACUUACUAACAGCGGAGUCCGCAUGCAGAGUGAGAUUCUAGCGCCUCGCCGGUGGGACUCUGGGCCCCCGAGAUACACGAUGGAGCCUCUGCCCAAACCCAAGCCAGGGGAAACAGACACGGAGUGAACAGAGUGGAGGCACCUGAGCAGCAGAACCUGGCUGCAGGUAGACGAGGGAGACGCCCGUCAAGUCGGAGGGCGGGGCAAGUGCAAAAGCCCUGGGAUAUGUAUGAAGUGGACAGACAGACGGAUGAGAGACAGAGUCGAUGAAGAAGGCGCCACUGAGGCAGAAAUGACCGACUAGGACCGUGACAGUGCCACAGUGACUGGGUGACUGUGGCCGGGC